rnacentral:rRNA from 1 species
AGAGUUUGAUCAUGGCUCAGGAUGAACGCUGGCGGCGUGCCUAGCACAUGCAAGUCGAGCGAUUCUCUUCGGAGAAGAGCGGCGGACGGGUGAGUAACGCGUGGGUAACCUGCCUUGUACACACGGAUAACAUACCGAAAGGUAUGCUAAUACGAGAUAAUAUGCUUUUAUCGCAUGGUAGAAGUAUCAAAGCUUUUGCGGUACAGGAUGGACCCGNGUCUGAUUAGCUAGUUGGUAAGGUAACGGCUUACCAAGGCGACGAUCAGUAGCCGACUGAGAGGGUGAUCGGCCACAUUGGAACUGAGACACGGUCCAAACUCCUACGGGAGGCA